rnacentral:tRNA from 1 species
GGAGAGAUGCGAGAGCGGUUGAAUCGGACGGUCUCGAAAACCGUUAAACUCGUAAGGGUUUCGAGGGUUCGAAUCCCUCUCUCUCCG